GGAACCAGAUUUUUAGAACUUCCAUGGCAGUGCUAUCUAGCCUUCAACGCCUGACCAAAAUUUCACUUCAAGUCUCACUCAUAGCAUCACCUUUCGUUCCUGUUAAGCUCUUUCAUUUAUUCAUAGGUAUGUAUUCUUAUUUUGGGAAUUUUCACCUCUUUCAUUUCGUUUUUUUUUUUGUGUGUAUCCUUUAUUGAUUUUUGACUUAAUUUAUCAUGGGUUUCUUUACUUUUCUUUCUCUGUGCUUGAUUUUUUAUGCAUCUGUUUUUCCCACUCUGAAGAUGAAAAUAAGUGUUUCCUUUUAGUGAUUCCGGAGGAAGUUACAACAACUAAUGAUCUUACUCGCCACCUUUAAUUUGGUUGGAGGACAUAUAAUGUGGCAGCAGAGAUAUAAGAGUUCUAAAGUAAAAUCAGAUAUGCAUGAAGUGGUGUGAAAAGGACUACCAUAUUAACGGAGUAAAUAUGAGUAUCAUCAUGCUAAAUGCAAUUGAGGCUGCAAGAAUGAAAGUACAACGUGACUUUAUGCAAAAUGGUUGCAGAGAAAUGGAUCAGAAAAAUGUCGAAUAUGUCAACAACUCUCGAUCUUUAUGUUGCCUCUGAUUUUUUUGAUGCAAAUGGAUAUGAUACCCUCACCAUCUAUCAAAUAUAAGGUGCACGUUCUCAGAAGCUCUUUUGUGUUCUUAUAGUUAUGGCUAAAACAUAAUCAUAUUGGGACUUGAUAGGUUACAAGUACCUUGCUUUAUGUUUUGAUGAUCUAACAAAUUUACUGUCAAGAACCAGAUAAGGAACCGGUUACAUAUCCUCAAGACCUUAAGAUCGAAAGGUUCCAGCUUGGAAUAUGUCUCGACUCUUCAGAGCCAGAGGAACAACAGAGGGAACGGAUAACUAUCAUUCCCGAGGAAAUUGUAGAAGUCAACUGCCCCAACUGUAAAGUUGCUACAUGCACACGCUACAAUGCAGAAACAGUGCAGCAGUCAACUUUAUGGGGAGUGUCUUUUACCUACCUUGCUUACAUCAUUUUAGUGAUGUCACAAAUGCACUAUUAACAUUAAGGAAGGUAAAAACAAAUUAGUGGUUCACUUAGAGAAUUCAUUCAAGCACUCUCACGGUCAUUGAUCAUCACGCAAUCAAUUCUCAAGUGCAUCAAGAACAAAGAACAACACUACUACGAACUAGUUCCCCACAACAAGUCAUUGUAUGUCCUUAGUUGAGUUGUAACUUUGUAACAGUUAUUAAACUAUAUUUCCUACUUAGCUUGUUUAGAAGUAUUCUGUAGGAAACUCAUUGUAAACCUUAAACCUUUGUGUUUGAGUCUUGGUUAGAGUUAGUCAAGUUGUAAAGUCUUUGUAAUAAAGUUAUUACAAAGUGGCUUGUAAUAUAGUAUUACAAGUUAGU